rfam:Ictidomys tridecemlineatus contig054694, whole genome shotgun sequence.
UGGGUUGUGGCUCAGUGGUAGAGCACUUGCCUCACAUGUGUGAGGCACUGGGUUAAAUCCUCAGCACCACAU